GGAGACACUUCGAAAGUGGGCACUGGAUGCUGAGUAUUGAAGGCGAGGUGGUGUGUGAGGGCACUCAGCCCAGUUUCCUGUCCGGCCUUGCCACUCUGUUUGCUGCUUAUUACUAGUUUAAUCUUGAGUAUCAGGAGGAAGCAGUGUGUACCUUGGAGUUCAUUCAAAGGUGCUUUGUGGGCAUAAAUCCAGAGAGAGGACCCAAAGCCAAGGGAAAAGUGCCAUCGAAAUAAAAACAGGACAAGUGAUACAGAAGAAAAUGUGUGGCAGUCAACCCACAUGUUGCCACUCUUCUGUGCAAAUUCCAAUGGAAUUUCUGAAAUUCACACUUUGAAUCCUGGGAUGGAACUUCAUCUGGAGCAUAAUUGUUAUUUGGUUGAUUUUUAUCUGUUUGAUGGAAAGUUUGUAUGACUUCUGCAAGUGCGCGGCUCCUUCCGGUCAGUCAUGCAUCACUUUUUUUUGUAUGACUUGUUUGGCAAUAUUGGUCUAUUCCUUAAUGAUGAUAGCUAUCUGAAAAUGUCUUUGUGGUUUUUAAAGGAUUAGUUCACCCAAAAAUGAAAAUUAAGUCAAUAAUUACUUAUGUCGUUUCACACCCGUAAGAUCUUCGUUCAUCCUCACAACACAUAAUAAGAUGUGGCUCAGUGAAGCGUGCAUUUCUAGCAAGAUCAUUUCUUUUUUUCAAUGCCCAGAAAGCCUCUAAAACAUUUAAAACAAUUCAUGUGACUACAGUUGUUCAACCUAAAUAUUAUAAAGCGACGAGAAUACUUUUUUUGCCAACCCCCCCCCCCCCCCCAUCUCCCAAAACAACGAUUUUAUUCAACUAUAUCUAGUGAUGGGCGAUCUCAAAACACUGCUUCAUGAAGCUUAGAAGCUUUACGAAUCUUUUGUUUCAAAUCAUUUGCUCAGAACGUGUAUCAAACUGCAAAAGUCACACGAACCAUUGAAAUUUCAAAACACUUAUGACGUAACGAAGCCUCAUUUACUGAAAUCAUGUGACUUUGGCAGUUUGAUAUGCUCUGAUUUGAACUGAAAGAUUAAUAAAGCUUUGAAGCUUCAUGAAGCAGUGUCAUCCAUCACGAGAUACUGUUGAAUAGUCAUUAUUUAGUUUUUUGGCACACAAAAAGUAUUUUCAUUGCUUCAUUACACUAAGGUUGAACCACUGUAGUCACAUAAACUGUUUUAAAUAUGUUUUUAGUACCUUUCUGGGCAUUGGAAAGGGAAAUGAUCUUGCUAGCAAUGUAGGCAUCACUGGGCCAUCAGGUUUUAUAAAAAAUAUCUUAAUGUGUGUUGUGAAGAUGAACAAAGGUUUUAAGGGUGUGGAAUGACAUGAGGGUGAGAAAUGACAGAAUUUUCACUUUUGGGUGAACUGUUUUAAUAUGACCAUGUUGGUCAUGUUUCGGUUAUAACGCAGUUUGAAUAUUUCUUUGUGUCAAGGUCCAUGAUGGCCAUUAUGUUCCAAGUAAUAAAAAAGAAAUCAUGCCAAAAUUUCAUAUCCAUUUAAAAAAAAAAUGAAAUAAUUUUAAAAUAAAUAAAAAUGAGUU